rnacentral:rRNA from 1 species
UACAGAGGUCCCAAGCGUUGUUCGGAUUCACUGGGCGUAAAGGGUGCGUAGGUGGUCGGGUAAGUCUGAUGUGAAAUCUCCGAGCUUAACUCGGAAACCGCCGUGGAUACUAUCAAUCUUGAAUACUGUGGAGGUAAGCGGAAUAUGUCAUGUAGCGGUGAAAUGCUUAGAUAUGACAUAGAACACCGAUAGCGGAGGCAGCUUGCUACACAGUCAUUGACACUGAGGCACGAAAGCGUGGGGAUCAAACAGG